AUGAGCGUGUUGCCUGCAUGUAUGUCUCUGUACCACCUAGCUCUGGUAGAAGUCAGGGUGUGGGGUGCCCUAGAACUGGAGUCACAGAUGGUUGUCAAGUGCCAUGUGGGUGCUGGGAACCUAACCCAGUUUCUCUGCAUGGGUGCCCAGCGCUCUAAUUCACUUGAGCCUUCUCUCCAGUUCCUUAAACCAACCUUUACAAACAAAGUUAAACAUAACACGUAGAAAGAUGGACUACAAAUCGUGUGACAGUUGCUAGCCAGGAAGCGAGUUUAUAACAUGCUUACAGUAGGAACCUGCUUUAAAUCCUUGGCAUGCGUUGUGCGGCUUGGAUGAAAACGGCGGGCAUCGGACAGGAGGGGCCUUAGCCCCGGAAACGAGCACCGGGAGGAGCGGGCGCGCUGACCACAAUGCCGGCGGUGCGGUGCCGGGAAGGCGCAGUGGGAGAGCCUAACCCAGAACGCUGGUGACCUGGCUGUUGAGGGAGGGCGGCGUGAUCGGAGCGGAGGAACCCAAGGCAGUCGGAAAGCAAGGCUGCGGUGAAUAGCGGGCAGGCUUAUUUGAAAGCCUUUUAGGAGGAGCACUAAGACUCUGGCUAGACACUCUGCCGGGACAAAGCAUAUUGAGAUUAUUGUAAAAGCCGUGUAAGAGAAGAGGCCCUAGGGAGUUGAGACUGAAUGGCACCCAUGAGGUGCACUGAUGAACAAGUGGAAAAGAGCAAGAGGGACAAGGGUCCUGGAGCCCCAAGGCCAGAGGUAAAGUUGUGUGUCCUCCCAACGUGUACGGUCCUGAACCAAGCCGCGUGACCUAGCGCUGCUCUUCUUAGCUGGUCCAGAGACAGUUAUCCUGGAAACUUGAAAUAUAGAGACAGCUCCGGGAAGAAGGGAAAUACCCAACAUAUAAUCCUUCUUUUCAGUGAAGGGGGAUCCUGUUAGUGGUGGGUGUGAAAGAGGACAGAGACAACGACAGAUAACCGAGGACUAAGGAGUUUGUUGGAAGAGUUAUUAACACUAUGGACAUAUAGAGAGAGGGUCGACAGCAAGAUAGAGGCUCUGAACAGGGUUCAGGCCCGGCACUGGAGGCAUGAUGGGGUCUCAAGAGCGCAGAGCCUGUGGGGCAGGAACGGAAGUCCGCUGUAGCUCUGAUGAUGAGGGGUUUACAGAAAGAGCCUGCUGCAGCCGGGCUCUCUGAUUCCCAGCUAGGAUGCAGGUAAGGAGGGGGAGAGCAUGGUGUGGCACUUCUUUGGUAUAAACUCACUAUUCAGGUGAGCGAGCGAUCGUGGUUAGGUAGGGAGUCACAGAAAAUGUCUUAGUAGGGUGUUUGUGGGUGUCCGCUGAAGGGGAAGAGCUGCCACAGAGCAGUAACUAGACUUACCCAGGACAGCAGUCUGGCUACUCGACAGAUUGCUAAGGGAACCAAUAAGGAGUUGUCUCUACGUCUUAGCCAAUGUUCUGUUGCUGUGCAGAGAAACCAUGACCAUAACAACUCCUAAAAGAAAGCAUUUAAUUGAGGCUUACAGUUUCUGAGAUUUAGUCUAUUAGAAGCAUGUAGGGCCGGGCGUGGUAGCGCAUGCCUUUAAUCCCAGCACUCGGGAGGCAGAGGCGGGC
rnacentral:lncRNA from 1 species